AUUCUAUGAUGUCAUGGUUCCUUCUCUAUGCGUGUUCUCUUGAGAACCAAGCAGGAUCAAUAGUUUUCAGAAGAACAGAAGUACAGAAAAAAAUGUGUUGUACUGCCCUAGCUCUACCCCUCCCAGGUUAUGACUCCUUCUGUUACUUUUGACUGGGUCCUACCUUCCGUUUUUGGUCCAGUAACAGGGCUGCCAUUUGGGAAUGGAUUCUCAGGCUCUAGUUGCUCCCCAGAAAAGCCUCAGCAAGUCAUUUUACCCUUUGCCUCUCACUCUACAUGGGUCUUUUCGAGAAUAUCUUAAUGAAAUAUUUCCUCAUCUCUGCGGACAAAGAGAUUUUUAUUGUGGGGGUGUCCCAUUAUUUUCCAUCUCAGGGACUCCUCCUUCAUUGUUUCCUUUUCUCUUCUGCUUCUCUUUCAUGGCUGCGCGUUUCUUCUUCCAGUGUUGCGGGCUAGGUCAGCAGCUGCAGGAGAACUUGAUUAGUGCCUUGCCUCAGUGCAGAUGCAUUUCCCUGACAGCAUCGAUCCUGGGUGCUUUCGCUUUGCAGGCAGCUCCACAGAGGAGGAGCUUGUACUGCAAAGGAGGUGGACUGUUGUCUGUUCAAGGAUCACCAGAAGAUGGCCCAUUUUAACCUCAUAAUAAACUUCUCUUGAGUGUCUUUCUCUUCCUGGCAGUGAGUAGAGCUUUGGCUAAGACAUUAAUACCACAAUUGAAAAGGUCAUUACCAAAAACACUUUAUAUUGUACCAAAAGCAAAAGUCUCCAACUGUCUUUUUUAGCUACCAAGAUGAAACUCUUUCUAGACAUGUUUGUCCAACUAUAAAAUGCAGACUG
rnacentral:lncRNA from 1 species